ACAUUGUUCAGAAACACGUCAGAAAAGCCUCCAGAGCCUGAUACCGUGUGCUUCACUGGGAGAGAGGAACCGGGCCCUGGGAACCUCUCUGCCACGACCGCCUGGAGAACUCACAUUCCGCUCCGGGCCUCUGUUUCCACAUCUCCAGUACUUCCGUGCACCCUCCAAGCCCCCUCGGGCUCGGGUUUACUUGCUGGAACCGAGGGAAGGGAAGGAGCGUCUGAGCAGGGCGGGCAUGGGGAGACAUCAGGGGCGCUCAGAGACAAGCCUGCAGGGGAGCCCGACCCCCGGCCCCUUGGGCUCAGCUCCCAGGGCCUGGGGAAGAGCUAAGAGAGAGCCAAGGUCUGGCUGCUGGCUCUGUUCCCGGCAUAUUUGGGGUCUGUGGGCCAGGCCCUGGGGACAGAAAAAGGGUCCCUGGAGCCUGCCAGCCCUGAAGCCUAUCCUCGGAGCACUCACGGCAAGGCAACACCCACAACAGAUAGGAAAGGGCACCAGGGCCUCCGCGUUCGUCAUCCCCCUUGGAUCCCGGGACACACGCCUGCGGGGAAAUCCAUCUUCCUGCUGGAGAGGUGGAGUGAGUGACAGCCACCCCCACGCCCCUGGAAAGACCUGCAGCGUCUGCUUUGAGCAGUCAAUCUGUCUCUCUCUUUAUCCCUCUCCCUUAUCUUCCUUACUCUCUUUCAUUCCUUUUUUUUCCUCUUUCUUUUCUCCCUUCUUCUCCCACCCUUCCUUCUUUCCCAUCCAGCAAUGGGACAGCCCACCAGGCCCUGCGUGUCCGUAGAGACGGCCGUCUGCUUAACAGAAAGAAGGAACGGAAGAUGACACAAGGCUGGUGGCUGCCAACCUCCCAGCCGGAGCCCAGCAAUUAGACCUUGGUCUCAACACGCCUGCCUCAUCCAAACCCAAGGAGCGUCUGCUUUCCGGCUGCUAAAGGGUGUGUGCGUGUGUGCAUGUGUGCGUGUGUGUGUGUCCACACCAGGCUUCCCUUUUCAUGAUGCUAAGUAAGACCUGAGUAAUAGAUGCCUUUCUGAGAACUGAGAAACCCCAAGAUAUUUACGUACUACGGAGAAAUAAAUGUUUUGCCGAAUCCACA